GUUGCUGAGGCUGGCCUAGAAUUUGCAAUCCUCCUGAGUGUCUGGGAUUAGAAAUUCUCCCAGCCAGAAUAAUUGCUUUUUAUCUGGCAAGGCUCCAGGGGGUGCAUACCACCCACACUACCACCCACACUACCACCCGCACCCACCCACCACCCAUUCAUGUGUUGAAGCUCUGAUCCCUGGAACCUCAGAAUGUGACUUUACCUGAAGAUAAGCUCCUUAGAGCAGUGAUUAGGUCUAAAGGAGGUAUUUGGGGUGUGCCGUAAUCCGUAAUCCGGCAGGGCUGAUGUCUCAGUAAGAAGAAGAGAUACCAGAGGGAAGGCCACGUGGGGACACAGCAGGAGGGCGGCCAUCUGCAAGCCCAGGACAGCAGCCUCCGGAGAAACCAGACCUGCUGACACCAACUCCCAGCUUCCAGAGCAGUGGAAAACCCGUUUCUGUUGUUCAAAGUGUCUGUGGCACUUGGCUCCAACAGCCUGAGCAGACAGAUGCACAGCCAGCCUGCAUCUGUGCCGAAGGGAGGGACCUGUCCGGAGAAGAUCCCUGCCCUAUGCAUGCCUUGUCCUGUCACCUGCCAUCUGCCACUGUGGACCCCUGGACAGCCCUCAUGCUGAAUACCCUUAACUUCCAUGCCCCACCUGAUGGAGAACAAGGACUUCAGGUCACUUCCCCCAACACUGCCCCUUUUCAGCAGGAAGCAGCUUAGAGAUGUCAUCGCCCAUUUUUCCAUAGAAAUAAAUGGAAUGUAGAAGUUGACAGAGGGGAGAUGUGACAGUGGCCACUUUAUGGUUUGAAUACAGCCCUUACUGCUCUGCUACUGCAA